rnacentral:rRNA from 1 species
AUUGAACGCUGGCGGCAUGCUCAACACAUGCAAGUCGAACGGUAACAGGCCCUUCGGGUGCUGACGAGUGGCGGACGGGUGAGUAAUGCUUAGGAAUCUGCCUAGCAGUGGGGGAUAACCCGGGGAAACUCGGGCUAAUACCGCAUACGCCCUACAGGGGAAAGCGGGGGACUUUCGGCCUCGCGCUAUUAGAUGAGCCUAAGUCCGAUUAGCUAGUUGGUAGGGUAAUGGCCUACCAAGGCGACGAUCGGUAGCUGGUCUGAGAGGACGACCAGCCACACUGGGACUGAGACACGGCCCAGACUCCUACGGGAGGCAGCAGUGGGGAAUAUUGGACAAUGGGCGCAAGCCUGAUCCAGCGAUGCCGCGUGUGUGAAGAAGG